UACGGGGGGGGCAAGCGUUGUUCGGAAUUACUGGGCGUAAAGGGCUCGUAGGCGGCCAACUAAGUCAGACGUGAAAUCCCUCGGCUUAACCGGGGAACUGCGUCUGAUACUGGAUGGCUUGAGUUUGGGAGAGGGAUGCGGAAUUCCAGGUGUAGCGGUGAAAUGCGCAGAUAUCAGGAAGAACACCCGUGGCUAAGGCGGCUCUCUAGUACGUGACUGACGCUGAGACGCGAAAGCGUGGGGAGCGAACAGG
rnacentral:rRNA from 1 species